AGUGAACGCUGGCGGUAGGCCUAACACAUGCAAGUCGAACGGCAGCACAGUAAGAGUUUGCUCUUACGGGUGGCGAGUGGCGGACGGGUGAGGAAUACAUCGGCAUCUACUUUUUCGUGGGGGAUAACGUAGGGAAACUUACGCUACUACCGCAUACGAUCUACGGGUGAAAGCAGGGGAUCUUCGGACCUUGCGCGAUUGAAUGAGACGAUGCCGGAUUAGAUAGUUGGCGAGGUAAAGGCACACCAAGGCGACGAUCCGUAGCUGGUCUGAGAGGAUGAUCGGCCACACUGGAACUGAGACACGGUCCAGACUCCUACGGGAGGCAGCAGUAGGGAAUAUUGGACAAUGGGCGCAAGCCUGAUCCAGCCAUACCGCGUGAGUGAAGAAGGCCUUCGGGUUGUAAAGCUCUUUUGUUGGGAAAGAAAAGCAGCAGAUUUAUACCCCGCUGUUCUGACGGUACCCAAAGAGUAAGCACCGGCUAACUUCGUG
rnacentral:rRNA from 1 species